CGGUUGGCCGGUAUCAAAUAAUUUUGGGGAGGAGAAAAAAAGAUCGUCCUGGCGGCCUUAAACACAGGACAUUUGUUUGUCACGUGACUUUUGGCACUCAUUUUCCGCCUGACUGAUCCACGCGCAAAUGCCUUCAGAUCCACGCGCAGCUUUCAGUGUUCCGUACUUGUAGAAUUGUUUUAUUGCCUACUAUAGACCAAAGAGAUUGUCGCAGUUGUCUUGUGAGACGACUGCCUCCGUUGAUGUUGUCGGAAAAGUGAGGCCGAAAUGCCCGCUGAAAAGAGGCGGAUUCAGGAGCGAGAGAGACAACUCAAGGAGGCAGCAAAGGGGAGCACAUCGCUGCAGGGUUGGCUACGAAAAAGCCAACAAGCAGAUGAGGAGCAGCCUCCAGCCACAAGGAAGUUGGGGACCAGGAGGCACAUAGUGCAGGAUACACGGUUGGACAGUAUCGCAGGGCCAGCAUCACCCCACUCCACACACCACACCCGAUACGAAGGACCAGACUGGAUUCAGACCACAAACCAUAUAACCAGGGUGUCCGCGCAGUCGUAAAAGAUGAUCGAUACUCACCCUGUCCACAGCACUUGGACAAUGUCCGGGGUCCCGACAUCCUGUUGUUUGCUGUGGACAUAAGUCAUCUUUAAUACAAUCUUUCUUGGCAAUCUUUUGGCAAAGUUUAUUCACGGAAGUGUGCGAAGUAGUGAGAAGGAUGCAAACCUGUAGGCUCUUGGGUCAAAACCUGUUUACAGUCCGUCUCACAGGAAAUUGAGAGGUCAUUUAUUUCAGGAGGAUCUCCGCAGCAGCGCUGUGUCUGUGGGUUGUACUGGACGUCUCCACAGCAAAUGCUGUCCUUGUGUUCCUUCAUAAGGAUCUUCUCACUGCCCAGACGUCCACAGCACAACUGCCGGUCCUCAUUAUAGGUCUCUGUAAAAACCACAAUUACUGUAUGCACUCUUAUAUUCUAGAUCAGUGGUCUUUAACCUGGGGUUUAUGGAGGUGCUUUAGAGGGGUCACCAAUUGUGUAGGGUUAAAUCAUGAGGUAUUUCUUUUUUAUAAUUGCAAUUAAAGGUCAAAUAUGAAAGUUUUGCGACUUGCGAUCUGAUCCUAAACCCUUACCUCUCCAUACCCUCUCAAAAGCCUGCCCACCCAAAAAAGCCAAAAUAGCGAAUACCCAAAUUGUAUGAAUAUAGGCCAUGCACAAAAUACAGCACAAAAAUGUCUGCAAAAGGUCUCCCUCCAGAAAAUACUUCUUAAAUUAGCCAAUCACGGGUGGACUGCAUCUCGGGGCCAGCAUCACCCCGCUCCACACACCACACCCGAUACGAAGGACCGGACUGGAUUCAGACCACACACGUAUAACAUCCGCUCUGUGCUUUGUAACAGAUGAUCGUUACUCACCCUGUCCACAGCACUUGUACAAUGUCCGGGGUUCCGGGAUCAUGUUGUUUCCUGUGGACAUAAGUCAUCUUUUAUACAAUUUAUCUUGGCACUCUUUUCUCAAGUUUGUUCACUGAAGUGUGAAUGCAGUACUGAGAAGGAAACAAGGAGCUUUCCAGGGUCGUCAGAGCCCGAGUAGUGUCACAGUGCUUAAAUGUGCAUACGUGAUCUGAUUGGAUGGCGGAUCCGUCGCUGCCGAAAAAGUAGAAAAUGUUUCAACUUUUUGACGGAGCCUUCAGCGCACGGAUCCACAAUGCAUUGCGCGUCUGUCCCCAUUCAAAGUCAAUGGGGAUCAGUCAACGGACGGAGGCAGUGGGCACGAGGCGUUAGGCACCACCACCUCCUGCAGCAGGCAGCGCCGAGGCGGUGGUCCCCUCGGCAGCGGGAAGCGGGGCUCAAGCGGAAGACAUUCGCGGGCAACAAUCCCUUUCUCCUCCAUGUCAUGGUUCGUGUACUUCAGGGAGUCAAAGCCAAAGUUCCUUUCCCCCAAUUCCUUCUCAACUAUGGCUGUGAUAAUCUCCACUAAGAGUCUCAUUGUGGAAAUACCAGAGACAGGAGUCUGACGUGUUAUGCGGCAUAACACACUUGCGUUACAGUGUGUGUAAUCACACACACAUGCACACGCGCACACAGACACACGCGCACACAGACACACACAUGUGGCGCUCGCACGGUCGUAUCUCAUGGGGCGGCCAAAUUCUCUUGGCUGGCAAGGCAGAGAAGGGCGAGGUGGCAUCUCCCCUUAUGACGACAUACGGGGAAAAUUCCAAAACGGAGCGUCUGAUCUUAGGUUUUUUAAAGGCGGAGCAGAAUGCCUAGUUCUCGUUUUACACCCAACAAAAUUUCUAGCUAUUUGGGGAGCAAAGGUAGGCUAGGGGAACUCAUAUUAACGUUACAAAACCUCAGAAAGUGAAAUUUUCAUGCCAUGGGAUCUUAAACCAACAGAAUGUAAACUUCAAUUGGCUUUCUUAAUCUCUAAACCUAAAUACAUCUCUAAUGAUAGAAACGUUUUUUUAACACCUGUGUAAAGUGCAAAAGCGCCCUUUGCUAACCUCCAAAAAGCCCACCCAAAAAGCCACAAUAGCAAAACCCCAAAUUGUAUGAAUAUAGGCCAUGCACAAAAUACAGCACCAAAAUGUAUGAGAAAAAGGUUUCUCUCCAGAAUAGACCCCUGGUCGAAAUGGCGGAAAGUUCACACAGGCAAAAAAGCUAUUUUACCUCGACCAUAAGGAGAAGAAUGACAUUAUACAACAAACAACCAGAGUUGAUUUGCCCCGCCAUAGCCACACAAUAGAGGGAGUAUAUAAUGAUAAGGAAUGCGAUAAAAAAUGAUAACAGUCCAUAUAAUUUGUAGUGCAAACUUACCAAUCACAACAGGAGUUGAACCCAUGAGCCAGAUAAGAAUUGCCAGGGAGAGCAUUUACGCGCUGUCCUGUAUCAUAAACUGAUUAAACUGCUCAGGGAUUUGCUCCACUCUAAACUGUUGCUGUUACUGUAUGUGUGUAGAAGUUGGCUAUGAGGCUGUAUUUAACAAGAUGCUAUGACAUGAGCCAACUUGUGUCGCCUUGGGUCAAUGUUUUCAACAUGUCUUCCUAGAUACGUGUCGGUCUCGAUGGCUACUCUGAAUGAAUGGAAGAGGAAAGAAAAGUUUAGGGAGGAAGAGGGUGGGGGCUUCUUACUAUCUCGGGGGUGGCUGGGAUUGUGUUGGAAAAGCUGGAUGCUUCCUCUGGAGAGGGGGAGCGAGAACGCUUUACUCCACAUACGUCACAUACGUGAUGGGAGAACUAUGCUGAAGGGCCCCUCCGAAGAGCCGAAAGAGACAUUGAAUGGUUAUUAAAUUAUUAUACAGCAGUAUAGUGAUGACAAGUCAGUCACUUGGUAGGAUCUUUUAAAAUAGAUCAAAUAAAUUCAACAUUAAAAUAUUUGUAUCUGUUCGACUAAUAUUCAUGACUGAUGAAUGUCAGGUUUAUGUCCAGCUAAGACAUGUAUAAUUUUAUCCAAUAAAUAACAUUAACCUAGCAAUAGGUUAAUAGUAACUAGAAUUACUGCACUGUUCAAAUUGUUGAGACAAUGUCAAGUUCUUUGAGAAAUGGGAAAUUUGUAUUUUUCAAUUACAAACCUAAAACAUUAAAGCAGUUUUUGUUUGUUUGUAAGUUCUCGGCGUUCUCUCACCCCCGCUUGCUCGUUAUCGUACUGUUUUAUACCGAGAUAACUUCGGGAAGUAUUUAAAUAAGAUAAAUUGUAAGAAAUUAAUGAGUGGGUUGAAAAUAAACAACAUUUUUUGGCGAUCUAAAACCAACAGAAUCUAAACUUCAAUGGCUUUCUUCAUUUCUAAACCUAAAUACAUAUCUAAUGUUAAAAGAAAAUGUGGAACACCACACCGCCCUCUGCCAACCUCCAACGGUAAUGCUUUGAUACCAAAUCACCUCUGUUGGCUGACUAUAUUCCAGACAGGCUCACUCCGCGAGAAAAACACACACACACACACACACACACACACACACACACACACACACACACACACACACACACACACACACACACCAUAACUACCCCAGCAAGGCAGCCGCAUAGGCCCUGUUGCCACCUGACAGUAACAUGCGUCUUAAAUGAGCUAAUCACGGUUGGACAGUAUCGCAGGGCCAGCAUCACCCCACUCCACACACCAAACCCGAUACGAAGGACCAGACUGGAUUCAGACCACAAACCAUAUAACCAGGGUGUCCGCGCCGUAGUAAAAGGUAGUAAAAAAAAAAAUUGCCUACAGGGAUCGCGGCAGUGUCACAUUUAUACCUUGCAGUAAGUACUAAGCGGUGCUUUGCAUCCCCCCCGCCCCGCUGCUUGAUGUCGUGUUGUUGAUAUUGUGGAGGCAGUAAAAAAGGUAGUAAAAGGUAGUAAAUUCUUCUCUAUGAUUCCUGCAUAUACCCUGAUAACGUCUACUCUGUGUUUUGUAACGGAUGAUCGUUACUCAAACUGUCCACAGCACUUGGAGAAUGUCCCGGGUCCCGACAUCAUGUUGUUUGCUGUGGACAUAAGUAAUCUUGGAUACAAUCUUUCUUGGCAAUCUUUUCUGAAGUUUGUUCACUGAAGUGUGCAUGCAGUAGUGAGAAGGAUGCAAACCUGUGGGCUCUUGGGUCAAAACCUGUUUACAGUCCGUCUCACAGGAAACUGAGAGUUCAUUUAUUUCAGGAGGAUCUCCGCAGCAGCGCUGUGUCUGUGGGUUGUACUGGACGUCUCCACAGCAAACGCUGUCCUUGUGUUCCUUCUUAAGGAUCUUCUCACUGCGCAGACGUCCACAGCACAACUGCCGGUCCACAUUAUAGGCCUCUGUAAAAAACACAAUUACUGUAUGCACUCUUAUAUUCUAGAUCAGUGGUCUUUAACCUGGGGUUCAUGGAGGUGCUUCAGAGGGGUCACCAAUUGUGUAGGGUUAAAUCGUGAGGUAUUUCUUUUUUAUAAUUUCAAUUAAAGGUCAAAUAUGAAAGUUUUGCGACUUGCGACCUGAUCCUAAACCCUUACCUCUCCAUACCCUCUCAAAAGCCUGCCCACCAAAAAAAGCCAAAAUAGCGAAUACCCAAAUUGUAUGAAUAUAGGCCAUGCACAAAAUACAGCACAAAAAUGUCUGCAAAAGGUAUCCCUCCAGAAAAUACUUCUUAAAUUAGCCAAUCACGGGUGGACUGCAUCUCGGGGCCAGCAUCACCCCACUCCACACACCACACCCGAUACGAAGGACCGGACUGGAUUUAGACCACAAACCAUGUAACAUCCACUCUGUGGUUUAUAACGGAUGAUCGUUACUCACCCUGUCCACAGCACCUGAGCAAUGUCCCGGGUUCCGAUAUCAUGUGGUUUCCUGUAGACAUAAAUCUUUUUCAGACAAAUAAUCUUUGCACCUUUUUUGUUUGUUAUUCUCUUCACUUUUAAUCCUUUUUAUUCUGGCAUGUUACAUUACGUCGUCAUCUUAGUUUGUAUCCUUGUCCAUGUAAUGUCAAUGUCAAUCAUCUGUCUAACUAUAUGUUGUUCUGCUUUUAUGCUUUUGUAUGUUCUAUCUAACAUCAACCUGCCAGGGAAUACAGAUGAAAAAUAGUUUUUUAACUAAAUGUGGUGCAUUUGUAUGUCCGAUACAAUGGCUAUGUUGAUUAAUGCACACUGUCCCUUUUUAAAUAAAUAAAUGAAUGAUAAAAAAAAAAAAGUCAUACAUCUGUAUUAAGUACAAAAGCCCCCUUUUGCAACCUCCAUCGCCAACAGUAAUGUUAUGAUACCAAAUCUCCUGUUUGCUAAACAUAUACCAGACAGGCUCACUUCGACAAUCACACACACGCCACAACAAAUACCAAACAUAGCUACUCCUUGCCUUGAAAUCCACAGUCCAUCUGCCGAUAAUUAUCGCUAUAAUUACGUAUUUAUGCUUUAUUGUUUGAACAUAGAUCGUUAUCUGUUAACAUAGAUUUAGAUCUGAUUAUAAAACAGACUGCAAUACAUAGUGAUAACAUUCCAAUAAAACUUACCAAUGACAAAAUAAGUUGCACUGAUGAACUGGAUGAGAUUUCCCAGGAAGAUCAUUUGCACGCCGUCCUGUAUCACAAACUGUGAUUAAACUGUUCAGCAAUUUGCAGCAAAUCCGCUCUAAACUGGUACUGUUACUGCAUGUGUGUAGCAGGCGGCUACGAGGCUGUAUUUCGCAAGUUCCUAUUAGGGGAGCUCACUCGAGUCAUUUAUGCGGAAUGCUUGGAACAGGUCUUUCUAGAAACGUGCCCGUCUCUAAGGCUACUCUGAACGGAAGGGGCUGAUGAUUAAUCUGCUCAUUCUCAAGUCGUGAAUCCUGCAGCUAGACGGAUCUUCUCCUAUUCCUCAGAUCAAGGAAUGGAAGGGCUGUCAAGGUUCUGGGUUUUGUGUUUCACCUCACCUGUUGGACUUUUAGUUUGGUUUUUCAGUGGUAUCUCCUGGGCUUGAACUUCCUGUGUUUUCCAUGUCUCUUCCUGUCCUUCCCUGACCUUGUAGAUCCCCUUUGUAUUUUGCUAUGUCUGUGCCGUGUCUUGUCUUCUGUCUUCUCCUGCUAUGUGUUUAUGUUUACCUGUUUGUGUUCCUGUCUUAGCCCCUUGUGUAUUUCCUGGUUUGUGUUUUGUACCUUGUCCCCUACUCACCUGAGUCUUUUUAUUAGUUUGUGGUUGAUUUUUGUCUUGUCCAAUGUUCUCCUGCCUCUCGUUCUACCUUGUUCCCUGCCCACUUGUUUCUUGUUAGUCUUGUGUAUUUAAAUCCUUGCCUUGGUUCAGUCCCUUUCUCAAUCAUUGUUACUUUUGUCGCGGUGCACCUUGUUGCAUUUGGGUCCUCAACCUUGGUAGCAGUCGUGACAAGAGCAGUAUGAUGUGGGAUCUGACUAGCAGAUGGUAAACCAUUAUAAAUGGUAAAUGGACUGCAUUUAUGUAUCACAAGAGAUUCAUGAUGUUGGAGUUGCGUCAUAGAGGUGUUUUGCUUCUUCUUCUUGACUUUCACUCUAGAUUGAAGAUAAUAUAUCCAGUGUGUCCGCGCAUCCUUAAAAAGUCUUUAAGGGUCUUAAAUUCAUGUUUCUAAAUUUAAGACCUUGAAAAGUCUUAAAUUCGUUACAAAUGUCACAUGCUGGUCUUAAAUACUGUAACUCAAGGUCUAAAAUUUGUCGGGGCAGGACUAUUUAUUUUCUUAUUUUUCUCGUGGGACUUUUCAGGAAGGACAUGUAAAGAGGCUUCUUUCUUGCUAGCUGCAUAUAUAAAUGAUUACCUGGGUGUUUGCUAGCUAGUCUGCGACAAUGAGUAGGUUAAUGAGUCUCAUUGAGUGACACACAUGCUAUGCUUGGGUUAUAAUACAGCGGGAUCCCCCCACCAUCGUGUGUUUUAGGUCUUAAAUUUCAUUCAAGGUGAUAUUAAAAAGGUCUUAAAAAGUCUUGACUUGCUGAAACCUGCAGAUACCCAUUAGCCGAUACAUAGAAAAUGGCAAGACAAAAACAAUGUCUUAGGUUAUUGGUAAAAAUGACUUGAAUUGACGGGCCUAUCAUUGUCAGAUUAAAAGGUCGUUCUGGUUUUAUUCAGGGAGUGAUGAUCGACCCAUGCAUUGAUAUUGACCCGGAGUAAACAUGUAUCAAUUAAAAUGUCAUUCGACACAGUCAUUCGAUCAGUAAAGGAAAUUAUAGCCUGGUUAUGGCAGUGAGCACAGAUAACCACUAGAGGGCGACCUUGACACAUCGGAGUGAAUGUGUCUGUUGUGUUUAUUGAAUUUUAUUGGUCAUUUAAUGGGAUUUUGUGUUUUCAAUUCUUGUUACCACAUGUAGAUUAUCUUCGUAGCUGAUCAAUAGUGAAUUACGAAGCACACCAUCCGUGGCCCUUGACCAUGCUGUUGUAAGACUAAUUAAAUUAGCACGUCUUGGCUACUUCACAACAAUUGCCUUUACCACAAUGUUGCCCACAAAGUUUCGAUUCCUUCCCCUGGCCUUCAGGACUGGGAACACUGAUCUCGCCAGGGACACACACACACACACACACACACACACACACACACACACACACACACACACACACACACACACACACACACACACACACACACACACACACACACACAUUGUGGCAACCCGGCCGUUACCAAUUAAGGAGUUACAGAGCACCUGAGGAAUAGGUGGAGAAGCAGCUUAAAUAGCCUGCUUCUCCACUCAUUCGGGGCUCUCUCAGCCAUGUGGCUCGUGCCGAGUGGGAGACAGUGGCGGACUGAGCGGGAGAAGCUGGGAUCGGUAGCCACGCCGACCUCACCGACGGACCGGACCCGGACCCGGACCCGGACCCAGAGACCCCUCACCCUUUUUGCCCCAGUGUGGAAGAAACUUAAGUUGAUGUAUGAUUUCCCCUUUUUAUUGUGAGCUGCACGCAAUAACACCGCUGCACCGCAACCCUGCCUGAGCAUUUGUUUCGGGAAUCGCAGCCGCCGCCGACAGGGGAUUGUCACAAAGACACACACACACACACACACACACUAGAUGUACCCCUAUUGCAAAUAGUGUGCUUCUUUUUACUGUAAAUAUUGUUGCUUAUUUUUGUCACUACUGUUGUUUUUGCACAAUCCUGUAAGCAUUUCCACUCCUAUUUCAUUGUUUGUUACAAAUACAGUUCUUGGAUCGAUCCGAUCCACUGAAAACACUGGGCUACCAGUUAUUAAAUAUAGUUUAAAAUCGCACAUAUCGGUUGAUGGUACCUUGUUGGACUAAGAUUGUGUUUGCAUCAGGUUCUGUGGUUGGAAUUAGGACAAAAAUAAAUCCUGAUUCGCUACAUUCAUGUUUUUUCCUAUAUUAAAUGUUCGUCACAUUGAGCAUGGUUGACCUUUAAUGGCAGUGAAAAGAGUCAAAAUAAGCAUUAUGAAUCUUAAUAGAUUAUAUCAGUUGUAAUUUAUUGAUCGCUCUUCCGUGGUAUAAAAGUCACACAAAGAAUGAUAACAGUGUUAGCAUUAAUACCAUAGCUUAAUUACUAUCUCCUCCCCACGUUAACAUUUUCCUCGAGUUGCGCACCAGUUAUACUCAGAAAUGAAGGCCUUGAGCUCUGUGUGGGCUGAGGUAUCAUCAAGUAUCUUCAUCUUACAGUACACCAAUAUACCAAUAUACUAUUACGUUAUACUGAAGGUCACUAAACAUGGUAAUCCAGAAUUUGCAGAGGGAAAAUAGUGGAAUAUCUCAUGAAGAACAGUGUAAUCAUCUGGUGUAAAUUGUUUGCUAGCCACUUCAAGUUGAAUUCAAAAUCUAAAAAAGGUCUUCCCUGUUUGCCUAGAUGUCACAAAGCAACCCAAGCUUGGGAGAUCUCCCCAUCCCCCAGUAAUUCUCUUUCGUGCACGUGAGGUUAAUAUCCACUUUGGCCUUUACUCUUAAAGCUGCUUAAAGUAAGAUUUAAGGGCUAUAGUUUGAGUGUUAUUUGUUGUCAAUGCCAUAUCCGUUUGUCCGCUAUCAGUGACGGAAAUACACAAAUCACUAUGGUGUUUUUUGUUUACUUCUGCUCUUUUCUGUUCCCUCCCUUGACAACUCUCAGACCUUCCCUACGUUACCAUUACAAACCAAACCCCUGCCGUUCUUACUCUAUUGCAUUGUGUCACCAAUCCAAAAUCCAAAGUGAAUCAAGACUCGUGUGCAGGUUCAUUCUGGGUGGAACCAAAGACGUGUAAAACAGCAGUCCCCCCCAAAACCCACCCCACUCCACCAGCGUUCCAGCAGACAGACGUCCUACUUCCUGCCGUAGGCCAAGGCACCGUACGCCACCACGCCCACCACCGCCACCAGAACCGCCCCCCCGCACAGCAUCAUCGGCAGGUCGGUCGAUCCGGCCGGUUCCGCGGCGGCGGCGGGAGCCUCCGUCGUGGGGUUCUGUGGGGUUCUGUGGCCCGGAACCUUCUCAUCUCCCACGGAGCCCAGCGGAAUCUGGGAGAACCGCGGUUGGUGGCGGCGGCGGCGGUGGGCUGGCCGGCGACCAC
ensembl:lncRNA